rnacentral:rRNA from 1 species
CUACGGGACGCUGCAGUGAGGAAUUUUGCGCAAUGGGGGAAACCCUGACGCAGCAACGCCGCGUGAGCGAAGAAGGCCUUCGGGUCGUAAAGCUCUGUCAAGUGGGAAAAAAAUUCUUUGAUGAACAGUCAAAGGACUUGAUGGUACCACUGGAGGAAGCACCGGCUAACUCCGUGCCAGCAGCCGCGGUAAUACGGAGGGUGCAAGCGUUGUUCGGAAUUACUGGGCGUAAAGAGCGUGUAGGCGGUUUGACAAGUCAGAUGUGAAAGCCCCGGGCUCAACCCGGGAAGUGCAUUUGAAACUGUUUCACUAGAGUAUGGGAGAGGAGAUUGGAAUUCCUGGUGUAGAGGUGAAAUUCGUAGAUAUCAGGAGGAACACCCGUGGCGAAGGCGAUUCUCUGGACCAAUACUGACGCUGAGACGCGAAAGCGUGGGGAGCAAACAGGAUUAGAUACCCGAGUAGUC